rnacentral:rRNA from 1 species
ACGUAGGGUGCGAGCGUUAAUCGGAAUUACUGGGCGUAAAGCGUGCGCAGGCGGUUCUGCAAGUGGGACGUGAAAGCGCCCGGCUCAACCGGGCGAGGACGUACCGAACUGCGGGACUAGAGGCAGGGAGAGGCGUGUGGAAUUCCGGGUGUAGUGGUGAGAUGCGUAGAGAUCCGGAGGAACACCAGAGGCGAAGGCGACACCCUGGGCCGUACCUGACGCUAAGACGCGACAGCACGGGGAGCGAACGG